GGUUUCCGUAGGUGAACCUGCGGAAGGAUCAUUAUUGAAGUUGAACCACCGGUUGUUGCUGGCUCUCAGGAGCAUGUGCACGCUGGUAUCACUUUACCUUUCCCCUUUGUGCACCUUUGGCUAGUUCACAUGUGUGGUUUCAGAAAGUGAGAGACUUAGUGCUUAACGCACUAUAACUUGUUGAUCUUUCGCCUUGAUGAGUUUAGAGCUUUGCGCCUUAGCUUUGCUUGUUGACAACUUGGAUAGGUUUACUACUAGUGUUCUAUGCACCCUUUAUAAACGUAUGUCUAUGAAUGUCAUUGUUUACUAGGUCUCAGUACCUGUAAAUCAUCUAUACAACUUUUAGCAACGGAUCUCUUGGCUCUCGCAUCGAUGAAGAACGCAGCGAAAUGCGAUAAGUAAUGUGAAUUGCAGAAUUCAGUGAAUCAUCGAAUCUUUGAACGCACCUUGCACCCUUUGGUAUUCCGAAGGGUAUGCCUGUUUGAGUGUCAUUUAAUUCUCAACCAUUGAAGUUUUUACCGACUUGCUUUGGCUUGGAUGUGGAGGUUGCAGGUCUCGUCAAGAGAUCAGCUCCUCUUAAAAGCAUUAGUGAGGACCGUUUGUAGGGGUUCAUCCAUUAUUCACUUGGGCGUGAUAAUUUAUCGUCGUCUCUAAMGAAUAAGAACUCUGAGGCUCUUGCUUUCGAACUGUCUGGCUUCAUUGCUAAGACUGUCCUUUUGGGCAUAUCUUUUAUUUGACCUCAAAUCAGGUAGGACU
rnacentral:rRNA from 1 species